rnacentral:rRNA from 1 species
AUUGAACGCUGGCGGCAGGCCUAACACAUGCAAGUCGAGCGGAUGAAGGGAGCUUGCUCCUGGAUUCAGCGGCGGACGGGUGAGUAAUGCCUAGGAAUCUGCCUGGUAGUGGGGGAUAACGUCCGGAAACGGGCGCUAAUACCGCAUACGUCCUGAGGGAGAAAGUGGGGGAUCUUCGGACCUCACGCUAUCAGAUGAGCCUAGGUCGGAUUAGCUAGUUGGUGGGGUAAAGGCCUACCAAGGCGACGAUCCGUAACUGGUCUGAGAGGAUGAUCAGUCACACUGGAACUGAGACACGGUCCAGACUCCUACGGGAGGCAGCAGUGGGGAAUAUUGGACAACGGGCGAAAGCCUGAUCCAGCCAUGCCGCGUGUGUGAAGAAGGUCUUCGGAUUGUAAAGCACUUUAAGUUGGGAGGAAGGGCAGUAAGUUAAUACCUUGCUGUUUUGACGAUACCAACAGAAUAAGCACCGGCUAACUUCGUG